GCUAAUUAGGUGUUCUAUGCACGUUGACUUUUCACGUCAAAAGAGCACAUUAGUGCAUUUAGCU
rnacentral:tRNA from 1 species